AUAUCAUAUUGUGUUUUAUUUGUAUCAUUCAUUUGCUAAACCUUCUAAUAGGUUUUUCCUUUAGAAACCAAAAUUAGCACAUGAAAAAUUUCUUAAGAUAUUCAUUGAUAAAUACUAAAAAUUAACCUCUAAACAUGAGUUUAAUCGAAAACUUUUAACGUAUCAAAAACUUAAACGAUUUAAAUUAUUUUGACAGUAAAGCAUAAUAACUUGGAGAAGUUGAUACUAAAAUAUCAGAAGCUUUUUAUCAUGUUUGAUUCUAAUUAAUUGUGUUUAAUAAUGGACAUUUAGUAUGAUGGUUUCUUGUUAUGAAGGAGCGUUACAAGAGAAUGAAUUAUAUUCAUCAUUGACAGAGUAUCAGAAUAAUGUCCAGAAGACGGCAUUGUUAAAAUCUUGGAACAUGAGAAUAAUUCUAGAAAGAAAGAUAAUGGAUCUGAGUUACAAUCGUACAGGGAAUUGAGAAAAUGUUUUGAAAGGAAUAUCAUAUUAAUUGAAUUGUCAAACCGUUGAUGAUCAGAAAUCUGCUAGAUCAAUUAAAUGGAUUUGUUUUCUAUUUAAGUUUCCAAGACUGCUCACAUUUUGGAAAAGUGUGAAAGUAGCCUGCUGCACUUUUAUUGAUAGAACUAUGUUCAAAUUAGUUUUCAGAGAUGGAACAUUGACUGAAAAAGAAGCAAAUGAACGUAAUAAAGGAGUACUCCAUUGUGCAGUAGAUUGGACUGGCAUUUGGAAGUUAUGUGUCACGAGAGUCUGUUUUUUCAUUUUGAUUCUGAUUUAUAUUCUCCCUGGUAACAACUAGGUCCUCACAAAGAUUGUCGUCCCCAUAAGAUCAUGCCUCAAUACUAUCCAAAACUCCAUGACUACUGGAUUUUCAUUGAAUAAGAAAUUGUUAUUCGUAUGAGAAUAGGGAAGAAAAAUAUCUAAGGAUUCAGGAAUAUCGUUUGAUGGUACGUAUCCAUCAGUUAGUCGAUGGUUUCUCGUCUAUACGUCAUAUUGGAAGAUUCAUUAUACAUCCAAUGAUUGAGAAAAGCAAGAGAACUAUUCAAAAGAUCAUCAGAAUCAUUCGAAGAACAUUUAUCAUACUGAUGAAUAUGGGUGCAAUAAAUAUAUAGAGAUGAAAACAGAGUAAAUUUAUCUAUCGAAUCUGAUAGCCUAAUAAUAAUUGUAGAGGAGGAAAGAAGCAGUUUAUUACAAAUGCACUCAUACUUUUUAUAUUCAUAUUAUGGUCAUAUUAUGGAUAAAUUUCGUUAGAAGGAAAUUAUUUAGAUCUGCUAAUUGAAUGGGGAAAAUGCUUUGUUUUAUUAUGGUAGAACGAUUGUUGAUGAAAGAAGAAUAAGUUUGAGAUGUAAACCACGUUCUUGUAUCAAUUUUCUAUGGUAAUUUAUCCUCAAAUGGAUAUUUGUCUGUUGAAUGGUUCACUUUUAGCGGCAGAUGCUCCGACAAGUAAAUGUAUCGUUGAGCAGUGCAUAUAUGAGUAUCUGUAAAACAAGAUAAUGAUCUUAGGGAUCCAUCAGUUACAGUUUCCAAAUUGUGCUGAUAAAGUGAUCCGAAUACAUGAUGGCUCUUUGUAGAUCAAAAUUGAUUUUAAUACUUUCAAAGCUUCUGGUGUUUAUUUCACCAAAUUUGUAAUUUAAAAGAAUAAAGAAUCCACAUACAAAAGGAUGAUCGAAGAUUCAACGGAUUGAUAUAGAUAAUAACUAAAGUAGGAAGCGCAGACAUCACCUUCGAGAUUUUUAUAUGGUGAUAAAUUAAACGAUGGCGAGGAAUGAAUGAAUUGAUUUAUUGUAAUGUUAAAGUAUAAGCUUACUCAUUAACUAAUUGAUUAUCAUGUUAUUAAUAUGAUAACAAAAUGUUAUUAAUAAGUUUGAUGGUCGAUCACUGAUCUCUAAUCACGUAAGUCAACGUUGUGAGAUUUGCCGACGAUUAGUACAUUAAACGCCGAGAAAAUAUUUAUCAUCGAAUUUGGCAAUCAUUAAGAAAUUCUUUUGGCUGUUUCAUCUUUAUCUUGGGUUUAUGAGUUUCAGCAUUUAUAUCAAAUUAAUCUCUUUUGUUUAAAGUUCAUUCAUAAUCGUAUUUUUCCUCUUCUUGAAAUACACCGUAAUCAGUGACAGUUGUAUAAAGAAAAUGCAAUCUUUACUUUUCUUUUUAUGAUAUGUCGUUUAAUAUAUCCUGUCGGAUCAGAUACUUCCCUAAAAAUAUUAUGAACUGGUACUCUUCCAGGUUUAGAACCUUCUAUUUCCUCCCAAAUUGUUCCAUCAGAAGCAGUUUCGAUAUUUUAAUUCUCUACAUUACUCUUACAUUCGGAACUCAAUAAUAAUCUCCUUCUCUUUUGUCUUGGACGCUUAUUUAUAACGCGAUCAGUCGUAACUUUUGAUACAAAUUUAUUAACAAAUCUAAUAUACUAACGGCCAGAAGCCACUACGUAUAAUCCUGCGUGAUUCUUGCUUUAUGAUAAUAUCGAGAAUCAAAAACUACGAAUGCUAGUAAAGAAAUGUAACGCAAUUGCCAUUUGUAUAUGGAUAUUUUUAAUAUUUAUUGUGUGUCAUAGUUAAUUAAAGUUUCUUUUUUUACUGACCGUAUUAACGAAUUAAAGUAUAAGAUAAUUCUUCAAUGUAUAAGAAGAAUGGAGAAACCAAAUUUGGUAAUUAAUAAAUUCUCAUAAACUUCUCAUUAGAUUACAUUAAAAUAUUGUACAUAUGUAUAUCGAUAUUUGUACAUAUGUAUAUAUUUGACAGAUAUAUUUUAAAGAUUUUAAUUCAAGUUUUAUAUUAUCAAAUGGAAGUAUAUUACAACUGUCGAUAAAUUAGAUUGCUUUUAUAUCUAUAUCAAAUAAUGUAGUUUUAUUUUUUAUGUUGAGGAUAUUCAUAUGCAAUACAUUAUUUAUUAAUAAUUUUAGAAAAUAAAUUUGUAAUAUGCACAUUAAUACAAAGUAAUAAUAGAAACGAUUAUUGAUUAGAUGAUUUAUUCAAUAACAUUAAAAAUUAAAUAUUAAAACAUUUUUCUAUUUUGUAUUAGGUUGUGCAAGUCAAAAUUAUCGAGGGAAGUUACGUAUUUGCAGCCGGUAAAAUUUCCUGUGAUAAUAACUAUUUUAUAACUUUUACUGAAGAAUGUAACAAUAUUUCAAAGUUCAUUAAAGUAAAUCAAUUAGAAAGAA